UACGGAGGGGGCUAGCGUUGUUCGGAAUUACUGGGCGUAAAGCGUGCGCAGGCGGCUUCUCAAGUCAGGGGUGAAAGCCCAGAGCUCAACUCUGGAAUUGCCUUUGAGACUGAGUGGCUUGAGUACGGGAGAGGUGAGUGGAAUUCCCAGUGUAGAGGUGAAAUUCGUAGAUAUUGGGAAGAACACCGGUGGCGAAGGCGGCUCACUGGCCCGUAACUGACGCUCAUGCACGACAGCGUGGGGAUCAAACAGG
rnacentral:rRNA from 1 species